rnacentral:rRNA from 1 species
GAUGAACGCUGGCGGCGUGCCUAAUACAUGCAAGUCGAGCGAACAGACGAGGAGCUUGCUCCUCUGACGUUAGCGGCGGACGGGUGAGUAACACGUGGAUAACCUACCUAUAAGACUGGGAGAACUUCGGGAAACCGGAGCUAAUACCGGAUAAGAUAUUGAACCGCAUGGUUCAAUAGUGAAAGACGGUUUUGCUGUCACUUAUAGAUGGAUCCGCGCCGCAUUAGCGAGUUGGUAAGGUAACGGCUUACCAAGGCAACGAUGCGUAGCCGACCUGAGAGGGUGAUCGGCCACCCUGGCACUGCGCCCCGGUCCCGCCUCCUACGGUCGGCAGCCGUAGGGAAUCUUCCGCAAUGGGCGAAAGCCUGACGGAGCAACGCCGCGUGAGUGAUGAAGGUCUUCGUAUCGUAAAACUCUGUUAUUAGGGAAGAACCAAUGUGUAAGUAACUAUGCACGUCUUGACGGUACCUAAUCAGAAAGCCACGGCUAACUACGUG